AGUCCAAUAGGGAGGGCAUUGCAG
rnacentral:miRNA from 2 species